AGUGAACGCUGGCGGCAGGCCUAAUACAUGCAAGUCGAACGGCAGCACAGUGGAGCUUGCUCCAUGGGUGGCGAGUGGCGGACGUGUGAGGAAUACAUGGGAAUCUGCCCAGUCGUGGGGGAUAACGUAGGGAAACUUACGCUAAUACCGCAUGCGCCCUUCGGGGGAAAGCCGGGGACCUUCGGGCCUGGCGCGAUUGGAUGAGCCCAUGUUCGAUUAGCUAGUUGGCGGGGUAAAGGCCCACCAAGGCGACGAUCGAUAGCUGGUCUGAGAGGAUGAUCAGCCACACUGGGACUGAGACACGGCCAAGACUCCUACGGGAGGUAGAAGUAGGGAAUAUUGGACAAUGGGCGCAAGCCUGAUCCAGCCAUGCCGCGUGAGUGAAGAAGGCCCUCGGGUUGUAAAGCUCUUUUGUCCGGGAAGAAAAGCAUCGGGCUAAUACCUCGGUGUUCUGACGGUACCGGAAGAAUAAGCACCGGCUAACUUCGUG
rnacentral:rRNA from 1 species